GACGUAGGGCGCGAGCGUUGUCCGGAUUUAUUGGGCGUAAAGAGCUCGUAGGCGGCUCGUUGCGUCGGCUGUGAAAACCCGCAGCUCAACUGUGGGCUUGCAGCUGAUACGGGCGGGCUUGGAUUCGGUAAGGGAGACUGGAAUUCCUGGUGUAGCGGUGAAAUGCGCAGAUAUCUGGAGGAACACCGGUGGCGAAGGCGGCAUCCUGGACCAUUACUGACACUGAAUAGCGAAAGCCAGGGGAGCAAACGGG
rnacentral:rRNA from 1 species